rnacentral:rRNA from 1 species
GAUGAACGCUGACGGCGUGCCUAAUACAUGCAAGUCGAGCGAACGGACGAGAAGCUUGCUUCUCUGAUGUUAGCGGCGGACGGGUGAGUAACACGUGGAUAACCUACCUAUAAGACUGGGAUAACUUCGGGAAACCGGAGCUAAUACCGGAUAAUAUUUUGAACCGCAUGGUUCAAAAGUGAAAGACGGUCUUGCUGUCACUUAUAGAUGGAUCCGCGCUGCAUUAGCUAGUUGGUAAGGUAACGGCUUACCAAGGCAACGAUGCAUAGCCGACCUGAGAGGGUGAUCGGCCACACAGGAACUGAGACACGGUCCAGACUCCUACGGGAGGCAGCAGUAGGGAAUCUUCCGCAAUGGGCGAAAGCCUGACGGAGCAACGCCGCGUGAGUGAUGAAGGUCUUCGGAUCGUAAAACUCUGUUAUUAGGGAAGAACAUAUGUGUAAGUAACUGUGCACAUCUUGACGGUACCUAAUCAGAAAGCCACGGCUAACUACGUG